GUACCCUCAAGCUUUGCUUGGUGUUGGGCGUCUUGUCUCCAGUCCGCUGGAGACUCGCCUUAAAGUCAUUGGCAGCCGGCCUACUGGUUUCGGAGCGCAGCACAAGUCGCACUCUUUUCCAGCCAAGGUCAGCGUCCAACAAGCCUUUUUUCAAC
rnacentral:misc_RNA from 1 species